rnacentral:pre_miRNA from 1 species
AUGACCUAUGAAUUGACAGACAAUAUGGCCAAGCUUGUCUGUCAUUUCUGUAGGCCAAUA